UGGGGAAUAUUGGACAAUGGGCGCAAGCCUGAUCCAGCCAUGCCGCGGGAGUGAUGAAGGCCCGAGGGUUGGAAAGCUCUUUCAGCGGUGAAGAUAAUGACGGUAACCGGAGAAGAAGCCCCGGCUAACGUCGUGCCAGCAGCCGCGGUAAUACGAAGGGGGCUAGCGUUGUGCGGAUUUACUGGGCGUAAAGCGCACGUAGGCGGACUUUUAAGUCAGGGGUGAAAUCCCGGGGCUCAACCCCGGAACUGCCUUUGAUACUGUAAGUCUUGAGUAUGGUUGAGGUGAGUGGAAUUCCGAGUGUCGAGUUGUCCUUCUUAGAUAUUCGGUGGAACACCACUGGCGCAUGCGGCUCACUGGCCCCUUCCUGCCGCUCUGGUGCGCCAGCGUUUGGAGCCAACAGG
rnacentral:rRNA from 1 species